UUAUGCAACUUUCUUCAACUUCGCUCCAACUACCAACAAAAAGCUCAAACAUUUCAAGUUAAAGAAAAGCUUGUAAAAAUGGUAGUUUUCGGAAAGUUACAAAAGGAAAGUAACUCGACCGCCGCGGGCGAGUGGCAAGUGGGAAGUUACUUUUGAUCGCUGAAAUCUUUUUGUCAGGAAAUCGGGAAGUGAAAGUUUGCAGGGAUAGUCUAUAGAUACGAUUUUUAUGUUAGCUUUUGCCCGUGAGUUCUUGUGUGUAGUAUGAUGAUUUCCGUGAUAAAUACUAUUUUAAAGUCAGACCAUAAGUUGGCAGCGAUUUUGACAGCCUAGACAGUGCAGGCCGGGUAGCCAACGUUACAGUCGUUAACGCUCCGUAGCGUAGCGUAGCGUAGUCAUUUCUCUCUAUCACUCUUCUAUGUUACGAGUAUGUAGUGCGACUGUGACAGUUGCAUUUCGUUCGCUACGGAGCGUGAACGAUAUGAUUCGAUGUUUUCUGAAAGAGCAACGUAUUUGUAUGAUUUUAUAUGACAUACAGAUAUAUAUAUAUUUUUUUAUCAAUUUUCUAUAAAGAAAAGUAGCUACUGUAUGUAAUUUCAUGAUUUCUAUAGUAAUCUAAAUUGUAUUUUAUUUUUAUUAUUUAAUGCAUGUUAAUUAUAAGAUGUAAUGUUUUGAAAAGAUGUGUCCCGCCGAGUUUCUUGCCGGUCCAUAUUGGGAUACCCUCCUUCAAUUGAGGGGGGAUUUAAAUCUUCUCGGGUCAGAGGUGUAGGGUUAGAGCCGGCGUAGCUUUAUUUGACGUUCAUAAGCGCAUUGUAAUAUGCCUACUUGAAUAAUAAACUAUCUUUAUCUUUAUCUUUAC